rnacentral:sRNA from 1 species
UUACCUAAAACAACGAAAGCCCUACCUCUCUUCCAUCCUUGCAACCCCGAAGUUGCGCCAGUGAGAAUCAGGUUA